GAGGGUAUAGCUCAGUGGCAGAGUGUGUGUUUAGCAAGUGUGAGGUCCUGGGUUCAGUCCCCAGUAUUUCCA
rnacentral:tRNA from 1 species